GAUGAACGCUGGCGGCGUGCCUAAUACAUGCAAGUCGAGCGAACAGACGAGGAGCUUGCUCCUCUGACGUUAGCGGCGGACGGGUGAGUAACACGUGGAUAACCUACCUAUAAGACUGGGAUAACUUCGGGAAACCGGAGCCAAUACCGGAUCAUAUAUUGAACCGCAUGGUUCAAUAGUGAAAGACGGUUUUGCUGUCACUUAUAGAUGGAUCCGCGCUGCAUUAGCUAGUUGGUAAGGUAACGGCUUACCAAGGCAACGAUGCGUAGCCGACCUGAGAGGGUGAUCAGCCACACUGGAACUGAGACACGGUCCAGACUCCUACGGGAGGCAGCAGUGGGGAAUAUUCCGCAAUGGGCGAAAGCCUGACGGAGCAACGCCGCGUGAGUGAUGAAGGUCUUCGGAUCGUAAAACUCUGUUAUUAGGGAAGAACAAAUGUGUAAGUAACUAUGCACGUCUUGACGGUACCUAAUCAGAAAGCCACGGCUAACUACGUG
rnacentral:rRNA from 1 species